rnacentral:rRNA from 1 species
UACGGAAGGCAGCAGGGGGGAAUAUUGCACAAUGGGCGCAAGCCUGAUGCAGCCAUGCCGCGUGUAUGAAGAAGGCCUUCGGGUUGUAAAGUACUUUCAGUCGUGAGGAAGGUGUUAAGGUUAAUAACCUUAGCAAUUGACGUUAGCGACAGAAGAAGCACCGGCUAACUCCGUGCCAGCAGCCGCGGUAAUACGGAGGGUGCGAGCGUUAAUCGGAAUUACUGGGCGUAAAGGGCACGCAGGCGGUUAAUUAAGUUGGAUGUGAAAUCCCCGGGCUUAACCUGGGAAUGGCAUUCAAGACUGGUUAGCUAGAGUCUUGUAGAGGGGGUAGAAUUCCAUGUGUAGCGGUGAAAUGCGUAGAGAUGUGGAGGAAUACCGGUGGCGAAGGGCGGCCCCUGGGACAAAGACUGACGCUCAUGUGCGAAAGCGUGGGGA